rnacentral:rRNA from 1 species
AUUGAACGCUGGCGGCAGGCAUAACACAUGCAAGUCGAGCGCGCUGCGGCAGGGUGAGUAAUGUCUGGGAAACUGCCUGAUGGAGGGGGAUAACUACUGGAAACGGUGGCUCAUACCGCAUACCAUCAGAUGUGCCCAUAUGGGAUUAGCUAGUAGGUGGGGUAAUGUCGCACCUAGGCGACGAUCCCUAGCUGGUCGGAUAGGAUGACCAGCCACACUUGAACUUAGACACGGUCCAGACUACUACGGGAGGCAGCAGUGGGGAAUAUUGCAAAAUGGGCGCAAGCCUGAUGCAGCCAUGCCGCGUGGGUGAAGAAGGCCUUCGGGUUGUAAAGCACUUUCAGCGAGGAGGCGUUACUCGCAGAAGAAGCACCGGCUAACUCCGUGCCAGCAGCCGCGGUAAUUC